GACGAACGCUGGCGGCGUACCUAAUACAUGCAAGUCGAACGCUUCUUUCCUCCCGAGUGCUUGCACUCAAUUGGAAAGAGGAGUGGCGGACGGGUGAGUAACACGUGGGUAACCUACCCAUCAGAGGGGGAUAACACUUGGAAACAGGUGCUAAUACCGCAUAACAGUUUAUGCCGCAUGGCAUAAGAGUGAAAGGCGCUUUCGGGUGUCGCUGAUGGAUAGACCCGCGGUGCAUUAGCUAGUUGGUGAGGUAACGGCUCACCAAGGCCACGAUGCAUAGCCGACCUGAGAGGGUGAUCGGCCACACUGGGACUGAGACACGGCCCAGACUCCUACGGGAGGCAGCAGUAGGGAAUCUUCGGCAAUGGACGAAAGUCUGACCGAGCAACGCCGCGUGAGUGAAGAAGGUUUUCGGAUCGUAAAACUCUGUUGUUAGAGAAGAACAAGGACGUUAGUAACUGAACGUCCCCUGACGGUAUCUAACCAGAAAGCCACGGCUAACUACGUG
rnacentral:rRNA from 1 species